rnacentral:rRNA from 1 species
AACGAACGCUGGCGGCAUGCCUAACACAUGCAAGUCGAACGAGAUCCUUCGGCGUCUAGUGGCGCACGGGUGCGUAACGCGUGGUAAUCUGCCCUUAGGUUCGGAAUAACAGUUAGAAAUGACUGCUAAUACCGGAUGAUGCCGUUAAGUCCAAAGAUUUAUCGCCUGAGGAUGAGCCCACGUCGGAUUAGCUAGUUGGUGUGGUACAGGCGCACCAAGGCGACGAUCCUUAGCUGGUCUGAGAGGAUGGUCAGCCACACUUGGACUGAGACACGGUCCAGAAUAUUGCGGGAGGGAGCAGUGGGGAAUAUAGGAAAACCGGGGCAAGGCUGAAGCAGCAAGGAUGCGUGAGUGAUGAAGGUCGUAGGGUUGGAAAGCUAGUUUAUACGGGACGAUAAUGACAGUACCGGGAGAAUAAGCACCGGCUAACUCCGUG